CGGCGAGAACCGACGCCCAGCGCGCACCGGUGAGUUCACCGGGGCCUUGGAGGAGACGCGAUUUGAUCGACCCCCGGAGGGCACAACGGUGCAACGCACUCAUAUAGUGGAGAAGCAGUUGUGGACGGCGGUGAAGAACCGGCCCCUUAGACAUGGGGGAGGAGCAGCUGCAGGCCACGGUGAAGAACCGGUCCCUUGGAUAAGGUAUACCAAGGAUUCCCAGCCUCUCCCCUUG